UUUACGGUACGAGACAGAAAAAUUCCUGGACUAACAGUGAGAGCAAGAUGGAUAAAUGUGGCACCCAGCAAAGCAGAGACUGACAAGGCCUUACAAGCAGAUGUCCCUUAAAGUCAGAGCCCUGCACACCCAGAGGGCAUCUUCUCAUCCCAUCUUUUUACGUCAAUACAGCUCUACCGACUGCAGGAAUAAUUCAUUUGUAAGUCUAGUAACUCAGAUCUAGCCUGUGGAAAAGCAUUCAUUUUCCAAUUGCUGUGUUGUUAAAUGACACUAUAAACUACUGCCCAUGGGCAAUGGGGCUGUAGUAGAGGAAUAUAUGUUAGCUUUCCUGACAUUUAAGAAUUCAGCUUGAUGUAUAGUUUUGGACAAAGGAGUAUUGUUGCUCUAUAUGCCGCUAGUGCCAUCAAUUAAGUGUCUGUGUCUGGUUGAGCAUGAGGUGCCUGGGCUUGCAAAGCAUCAUGCCUCUGCAGCUCUGUCUUUUUGAGGAAUGUGCUAAUGCUGCAGCCAACCACAGGGUCAGUACCUUCAACUGUGAGUGAGGUGAAAAGUGAUGGGGUGGUUUGUUCCUUCUAAACACCUUUGCAUUGCUUAGCGGCUUCACCCACCAUGAGUAUGUGUCUGAAUGUAGAGCCUCCCAGACAAGCAAAGGAAAUAUAAGAGUGAGCUUCAACUGCCCGACUAGUCCUGUUCUUGUCUGUGCGCAGUGCAGAUCAGUUGCACAUGGCCUAUGCUGUGGGACUCCUCAGUGAAGAGUCUACCGCAGAUGAGGAGGUGACCCUGCUGCAGGGCUUCACCUGGUGCAGUCACAGGUCAGACCACAUUGUUUGAUCAGAGGAUCCCAAGCCACUUCCCAGUGUGGUUAACAAAACCAGCCUGCCAGUAUAUUUGUACAGAACUAGAUCACAAGAUAAAUUGGUGGGCACUUGAAGCAGUCGUCCAGUGUCCCACUUUAAAUGCCUUACUCAGAGAAAAAAUAGAUUACAUUGUAGUGCUUUCUCCCAUGAUUCAGUCCACCUUACACAGCUGGGCUCUGAUUUUAUUUUAAAGAAAUCUAUUUUUCCCUAUAUAAAUAAAAAAAAAAGACACAUCA
rnacentral:lncRNA from 1 species